UGGGCGAAGUUCGUCCGCCGGACUCGGAAUGGCCCCAGACUUUGCGGGCGGCCUCCGUGGGCCAAAAAUAGGCCACGGGCACAGCCGCACCCAAAAAUCAGCCCCCGAAGGUCGGGGUGCCAAGACCCCCCAGCGGAAAAAUGGCCAAAAAACGGGUGGGCUAUAGCCUUGGUGGGGGGCGUGGGCGAAGUUCGUCCGCCGGACUCGGAAUGGCCCCAGACUUUGCGGGUGGCCUCCGUGUGCCAAAAAUAGGCCACGGGCACAGCCGCGCCCAAAAAUCAGCCCCCGAAGGUCGGGGUGCCAAGACCCCCCAGCGGAAAAAUGGCCAAAAAACGGGUGGGCUACAGCCUUGGUGGGGGGCGUGGGCGAAGUUCGUCCGCCGGACUCGGAAUGGCCCCAGACUUUGCGGGCGGCCUCCGUGUGCCAAAAAUAGGCCACGGGCACAGCCGCGCCCAAAAAUCAGCCCCCGAAGGUCGGGGUGCCAAGACCCCCCAGCGGAAAAAUGGCCAAAAAACGGGUGGGCUACAGCCUUGGUGGGGGGCGUGGGCGAAGUUCGUCCGCCGGACUCGGAAUGGCCCCAGACUUUGCGGGCGGCCUCCGUGUGCCAAAAAUAGGCCACGGGCACAGCCGCGCCCAAAAAUCAGCCCCCGAAGGUCGGGGUGCCAAGACCCCCCAGCGGAUAAAUGGCCAAAAAACGGGUGGGCUAUAGCCUUGGUGGGGGGCGUGGGCGAAGUUCGUCCGCCGGACUCGGAAUGGCCCCAGACUUUGCGGGCGGCCUCCGUGUGCCAAAAAUAGGCCACGGGCACAGCCGCGCCCAAAAAUCAGCCCCCGAAGGUCGGGGUGCCAAGACCCCCCCAGCGGAAAAAUGGCCAAAAAACGGGUGGGCUAUAGCCUUGGUGGGGGGCGUGGGCGAAGUUCGUCCGCCGGACUGGGAAUGGCCCCAGACUUUGCGGGCGGCCUCCGUGUGCCAAAAAUAGGCCACGGUCAAAGCCGCGCACAAAAAUCAGCCCCCGAAGGUCGGGGUGCCAAGACCCCCCCAGCGGAAAAAUGGCCAAAAAACGGGUGGGCUAUAGCCAUGGUGGGGGGCGUGGGCGAAGUUCGUCCGCCGGACUCGGAAUGGCCCCAGACUUUGCGGGCGGCCUCCGUGCGCCAAAAAUAGGCCACGGGCACAGCCGCGCCCAAAAAUCAGCCCCCGAAGGUCGGGGUGCCAAGACCCCCCAGCGGAAAAAUGGCCAAAAAACGGGUGGGCUAUAGCCUUGGUGGGGGCCGUGGGCGAAGUUCGUCCGCCGGACUCGGAAUGGCCCCAGACUUUGCGGGCGGCCUCCCUGUGCCAAAAAUAGGCCACGGGCACAGCCGCGCCCAAAAAUCAGCCCCCGAAGGUCGGGGUGCCAUGACCCCCCAGCGGAAAAAUGGCCAAAAAACGGGUGGGCUAUAGCCUUGGUGGGGGGCGUGGGCGAAGUUCGUCCGCCGGACUCGGAAUGGCCCCAGACUUUGCGGGCGGCCUCCGUGUGCCAAAAAUAGGCCACGGGCACAGCCGCGCCCAAAAAUCAGCCCCCGAAGGUCGGGGUGCCAAGACCCCCCAGCGGAAAAAUGGCCAAAAAACGGGUGGGCUAUAGCCUUGGUGGGGGGCGUGGGCGAAGUUCGUCCGCCGGACUCGGAAAGGCCCCAGACUUUGCGGGCGGCCUCCCUGUGCCAAAAAUAGGCCACGGGCACAGCCGCGCCCAAAAAUCAGCCCCCGAAGGUCGGGGUGCCAAGACCCCCCAGCGGAAAAAUGGCCAAAAAACGGGUGGGCUAUAGCCUUGGUGGGAGGCGUGGGCGAAGUUCGUCCGCCGGACUCGGAAUGGCCCCAGACUUUGCGGGCGGCCUCCGUGUGCCAAAAUAGGGCACGGGCACAGCCGCGCCCAAAAAUCAGCCCCUGAAGGUCGGGGUCCCAAGACCCCCCAGCGGAAAAAUGGCCAAAAAACGGGUGGGCUAUAGCCUUGGUGGGGGGCGUGGGCGAAGUUCGUCCGCCGGACUCGGAAUGCCCCAGACUUUGCGGGCGGCCUCCGUGUGCCAAAAAUAGGCCACAGGCAGAGCCGCGCCCAAAAAUAAGCACAGAAAGGUAAGGGUGCCAAGACCCCCCAGCGGAAAAAUGGCCAAAAAACGGGUGGGCUAUAAACUAUUGAAGGGGCGCGGGCGAAGUUAAUCCGCCGGACUCGAAAUGACCCCAGACUUUGCGGGCGACCUACGUGUGCCAAAAAUAGGCCACGGGCACAGCCGCGCCCAAAAAUCAGCCCCCGAAGGUCGGGGCGCCAAGACCCCCCAGCGGAAAAAUGGCCAAAAAACGGGUGGGCUAUAGCAUUGGUUAAGGGCGUAGGCGAAGUUAGUCCGCCGGACUCGGAAUGGCCCCAGACUUUGCAGGCGGCAUACGUGUGCCAAAAACAGGCCACGGGCACACCAGCGCCCAAAAAUCAGCCCCCGGAAGGUCGGGGCGCCAAGACCCCCCAGCGGAAAAAUGGCCAAAAAACGGGUGGGCGGGCUAUAGCCUUGAU
rnacentral:lncRNA from 1 species